GAAACAGUGGUGGUAGGAGACACAGUAGAGGUGGUACUAUACUGGUUAGGAGACACAGUAGAGGUGGUACUAUACUGGUUAGGAGACACAGUAGAGGUGGUACUAUACUGGUUAGGAGACACAGUAGAGGUGGUACUAUACUGGUUAGGAGACACAGUAGAGGUGGUACUAUACUGGUUAGGAGACACAGUAGAGGUGGUACUAUACUGGUUAGGAGACACAGUAGAGGUGGUACUAUACUGGUUAGGAGACACAGUAGAGGUGGUACUAUACUGGUACCGUGAGGUGGUACUAUACUGGUUAGGAGACACAGUAGAGGUGGUACUAUACUGGUUAGGAGACACAGUAGAGGUGGUACUAUACUGGUUAGGAGACACAGUAGAGGUGGUACUAUACUGGUUAGGAGACACAGUAGAGGUGGUACUAUACUGGUUAGGAGACACAGUAGAGGUGGUACUAUACUGGUUAGGAGACACAGUAGAGGUGGUACUAUACUGGUUAGGAGACACAGUAGAGGUGGUACUAUACUGGUUAGGAGACACAGUAGAGGUGGUACUAUACUGGUUAGGAGACACAGUAGAGGUGGUACUAUACUGGUUAGGAGACACAGUAGAGGUGGUACUAUACUGGUUAGGAGACACAGUAGAGGUGGUACUAUACUGGUUAGGAGACACAGUAGAGGUGGUACUAUACUGGUUAGGAGACACAGUAGAGGUGGUACUAUACUGGUACCGUGAGGUGGUACUAUACUGGUAUAGUGAGGUGGUACUAUACUGGUAUAGUGAGGUGGUACUAUACUGGUUAGGAGACACAGUAGAGGUGGUACUAUACUGGUACCGUGAGGUGGUACUAUACUGGUACCGUGAGGUGGUACUAUACUGGUACCGUGAGGUGGUACUAUACUGGUAUAGUGAGGUGGUACUAUACUGGUAUAGUGAGGUGGUACUAUACUGGUAUAGUGAGGUGGUACUAUACUGGUAUAGUGAGGUGGUUAGGGAUCCUUCCACUGCUUUCAUUACAACCACACAAGGAGGUCAAAGGCAGGCUGGCUCCCAGCUUGGUGAGUUCACAGCUAGCUACCCCAGCUACCCUGGGGGUGACGGUGAGGGCCUGGGGGUGACGGUGAGGGCCUGGGGGUGACGGUGAGGGCCUGGGG
rnacentral:lncRNA from 1 species